AAGCGGUGGAGCAUGUGGUUCAAUUCGAAGCAACGCGCAGAACCUUACCUGGGCUUGACAUGCCAGGAUUAUCCCUGUGAAAGCAGGGUAGGCCCUUCGGGGUACAACUGGUACAGGUGCUGCAUGGCUGUCGUCAGCUCGUGUCGUGAGAUGUCGGGUUAAGUCCCUUAACGAGCGAAACCUUUGCCCUUAGUUACCAGCGGGUUAUGCCGGGGACUCUAAGGGGACUGCCGGUGUCAAACCGGAGGAAGGUGGAGAUG
rnacentral:rRNA from 1 species